rnacentral:rRNA from 1 species
AGAGUUUGAUCAUGGCUCAGAUUGAACGCUGGCGGAAUGCUUUACACAUGCAAGUCGAACGGCAGCACGGGGCAACCUGGUGGCGAGUGGCGAACGGGUGAGUAAUACAUCGGAACGUGCCCAAUCGUGGGGGAUAACGUAGCGAAAGUUACGCUAAUACCGCAUACGAUCUACGGAUGAAAGCGGGGGAUCGCAAGACCUCGCGCGAAUGGAGCGGCCGAUGUCAGAUUAGGUAGUUGGUGGGGUAAAGGCUCACCAAGCCAAUGAUCUGUAGCUGGUCUGAGAGGACGACCAGCCACACUGGAACUGAGACACGUCCAGACUCCUACGGGAGGCAGCAGUGGGGAAUUUUGGACAAUGGGCGCAAGCCUGAUCCAGCCAUUCCGCGUGCAGGAUGAAGGCCUUCGGGUUGUAAACUGCUUUUGUACGGAACGAAACGGUCUGCCCUAAUACGGCGGGCUAAUGACGGUACCGUAAGAAUAAGCACCGGCUAACUACGUG